rnacentral:rRNA from 1 species
AUUGAACGCUGGCGGCAGGCCUAACACAUGCAAGUCGAGCGAGCGGCGGACGGGUGAGUAAUGUAUGGGGACUGCCCGAUAGAGGGGGAUAACUACUGGAAACGGUGGCUAAUACCGCAUACCAUCGGAUAACCCAUAUGGGAUUAGCUAGUAGGUGGGGUAAAGGCUCACCUAGGCGACGAUCCCUAGCUGGUCUGAGAGGAUGAUCAGCCACACUGGGACUGAGACAUGGCCCAGACUCCUACGGAGGCAGCAGUAGGGAAUAUUCGGCAAUGGACGAAAGUCUGAUCGAGCAACGCCGCGUGUAUGAAGAAGGUUUUCGGGUCGUAAAGCACUGUUAGUAGGGAAGCGGUAUCUAAAGAAAAAGCCACGGCUAACUACGUGCCAGCAGCCGCGGUAAUUC